CCCUUAGAUGUUCUGGGCCGCACGCGCGCUACACUGACUGGUGCAACAAGUGUCGCACCUUGGCCGAUAGGUCUGGGUAAUCUUUGAACGCUGUUCGUGAUUGGGAUAGACCUUUGCAAUUAUGGGUCUUCAACGAGGAAUUCCUAGUAAACGCAAGUCAUCAGCUUGCAUUGAUUACGUCCCUGCCCUUUGUACACACCGCCCGUCGCACCUACCGAUUGAAUGGUCCGGUGAAAUCUCGGGACGGCGGCUUGGUCGCUUGCGUCCGACUGCUGAAACUUGAUUAAACCAUAUCAUUUAGAGGAAGGUGAAGUCGUAACA
rnacentral:rRNA from 1 species